UCGGGUUGUAAAGCACUUUUGUCCGGAAAGAAAACUUCGGGGCUAAUACCUCUGGAGGAUGACGGUACCGGAAGAAUAAGCACCGGCUAACUACGUGCCAGCAGCGCGGUAAUCGUAGGGUGCGAGCGUUAAUCGGAAUUACUGGGCGUAAAGCGUGCGCAGGCGGUCUGUUAAGACAGAUGUGAAAUCCCCGGGCUUAACCUGGGAACUGCAUUUGUGACUGGCAGGCUAGAGUAUGGCAGAGGGGGGUAGAAUUCCACGUGUAGCAGUGAAAUGCGUAGAGAUGUGGAGGAAUACCGAUGGCGAAGGCAGCCCCCUGGGCCAAUACUGACGCUCAUGCACGAAAGCGUGGGGAGCAAACAAGAUUAGAUACCCUGGUAGUCCACGCCCUAAACGAUGUCAACUAGUUGUUGGGGAUUCAUUUCCUUAGUAACGUAGCUAACGCGUGAAGUUGACCGCCUGGGGAGUACGGUCGCAAGAUUAAAACUCAAAGGAAUUGACGGGGACCCGCACAAGCGGUGGAUGAUGGUGGAUUAAUUCGAUGCAACGCGAAAAACCUUACCUACCCUUGACAUGGUCGGAACCCUGGUG
rnacentral:rRNA from 1 species